rnacentral:tRNA from 1 species
UGCCCACUGGCGCAAUCUGGUAGCGCUUCCGUCUGAUACGCGGCGGGUUUCCAGUUCAAAUCUGGAGUGGGCGA